rnacentral:lncRNA from 1 species
GAGCUUGCCUUCUCUUUCCUUAAUUUCCCCUCGCAGUGUGGUCUUUUCCCCACCCCCAGACAUGAAAGGGAAGCAGGUCACAAAGCCUUUCGGAUUAUAAAAGAAACACUUGCUUCUCACAAGGGGAGCAGCAGACUUACUCUGUACUAAAUGCCAGGAUAAGCCUCUGGCUGGGCCUCGACUGUGACCCUCCGGCCUCUUUCUACAGCUCUGCCUGGAUGGACUGGCCUAUCUCUGCUGGAUUCCCGAAGUGCAUUGUGUAGAGACAGCAACUCAGGUCAGGCUAAAAGCUCAAGCAAGCAAGCGCGCACACACACGCGCGCACACACACACACACACA